rnacentral:rRNA from 1 species
CCUACGGGCGACAGCAGUGAGGAAUAUUGGUCAAUGGCCGGAAGGCUGAACCAGCCAUGCCGCGUGAAGGUCAGUGCCCUAUGGGCGUUAAACUUCUUUUGUGCGGGAGCAAUAAUGGUCACGUGUGGCCAGACGAGAGUACCGUACGAAUAAGCAUCGGCUAACUCCGUGCCAGCAGCCGCGGUAAUACGGGGGAUGCAAGCGUUAUCCGGAUUUAUUGGGUUUAAAGGGUGCGUAGGCUGUGAGGUAAGUCAGCGGUGAAAUGCCCCCGCUCAACGGGGUGAAGUGCCAUUGAUACUGCCUGGCUGGAAUGCGGAUGCGGUGGGAGGAAUGUGUGGUGUAGCGGUGAAAUGCAUAGAUAUCACACAGAACACCGAUUGCGAAGGCAUCUCACGAAUCCGCGAUUGACGCUGAUGCACGAAAGCGUGGGUAUCAAACAGGAUUAGAUACCCGAGUAGUC